GAUUCCCCUAGUAAGGGCGACUGAAGCGGGAAGAGCUCACAGUGUGAAUCUGCAUUUCUUAGUGCCGAAUUGUGGUCUGUAGAGGCAUGUGUUUGGCCGGCCGGGUUAAGUCCCUUGGAACAGGGCAGCAGAGAGGGUGAGACUCCCGUUCUUGCCUGGGUUUGGCCAUUUGACACUUGUUUUCGACGAGUCGAGUUGUUUGGGAUUGCAGCUCAAAGUGGGUGGUAAAUUCCAUCUAAAGCUAAAUAUGGGUGGGAGACCGAUAGCGUACAAGUACCGUGAGGGAAAGAUGCAAAGAACUUUGAAAAGAGAGUUAAAGAGUACCUGAAAUUGCUGAAAGGGAAGCGAAGGAAACCAGUGCUUGCUUGUUCAUAUUUCUCAAAUCGCUUGCGGUUUGGGCGCUGUGUACUUGCCUCUGUCAUCCUUGUUUAGACUCGGCGGAUACGUAUGUUCGGGAGGUAGCGCUUGCGUGAUACCGUUCAUAUUAUUGCUGGGUCCGAAUGAGGCUGACGAAAUGGUUUUCUUUACCCCGUCUAGAAACACGGACCAAGGAGUCUAACAUAUGUGCGAGUACAGGGGUGACAAACCCCCGUGCGUAAUGAAAGUGACAGUGGUUGGACCUUUUGGGCACAAUCCGCCGGCCUCAAUCCUUCGGGAGAACGGUCUGAGUGUGAGCAUACAUGUUGGGACCCGAAAGAUGGUGAACUAUGCUGAAUAAGGGUAAAGCCAGGGGAAACUCUGGUGGAGGCUCGUAGCGAUUCUGACGUGCAAAUCGAUCGUCAAAUUUGGGUAUA
rnacentral:rRNA from 1 species